rnacentral:rRNA from 1 species
UACGUAGGGUCCGAGCGUUGUCCGGAAUCAUUGGGCGUAAAGAGCGUGUAGGCGGCCUUUUAAGUCCUGCGUGAAAUCCUGCGGCUCAACCGCAGACGGUCGUGGGAAACUGGAAGGCUAGAGUGCGGGAGAGGAGAGUGGAAUUCCCGGUGUAGCGGUGAAAUGCGCAGAUAUCGGGAAGAACACCAGUGGCGAAGGCGGCUCUCUGGAACGCAACUGACGCUGAGACGCGAAAGCGUGGGGAGCAAACAGG